AUACCUUUCUCGGCCUUUUGGCUAAGAUCAAGUGUAGUAUCUGUUCUUAUCAGUUUAAUAUCUGAUACGUGGGCCAUCAGCCCACAUGAUAUUAAAUUAAUUUUUUAUGGGUGAAGGCCCAUCACAGUAGCUUGCUGCUGGGGUCUUCGAGAGUCGCCCUUGUGUUGCACUACAGCAUGGGCCAGGCGCGACCCUC